ACGAACGCUGGCGGCAUGCCUAACACAUGCAAGUCGAACGAGACCUUCGGGUCUAGUGGCGCACGGGUGCGUAACGCGUGGGAAUCUGCCCUUGGGUUCGGAAUAACAGUUGGAAACGACUGCUAAUACCGGAUGAUGACGUAAGUCCAAAGAUUUAUCGCCCAGGGAUGAGCCCGCGUAGGAUUAGCUAGUUGGUGGGGUAAAGGCCUACCAAGGCGACGAUCCUUAGCUGGUCUGAGAGGAUGAUCAGCCACACUGGGACUGAGACACGGCCCAGACUCCUACGGGAGGCAGCAGUGGGGAAUAUUGGACCAUGGGCGAAAGCCUGAUCCAGCAAUGCCGCGUGAGUGAUGAAGGCCUUAGGGUUGUAAAGCUCUUUUACCCGGGAUGAUAAUGACAGUACCGGGAGAAUAAGCCCCGGCUAACUCCGUG
rnacentral:rRNA from 1 species